rnacentral:rRNA from 1 species
GAUGAACGCUGGCGGCGUGCUUAACACAUGCAAGUCGAACGGUGAAGGCGGAGCUUGCUCUGCUGGAUCAGUGGCGAACGGGUGAGUAACACGUGAGCAAUCUGCCCCUGACUCUGGGAUAAGCGCUGGAAACGGCGUCUAAUACUGGAUACGAGCUGCGAAGGCAUCUUCAGCAGCUGGAAAGAACUUCGGUCAGGGAUGGGCUCGCGGCCUAUCAGCUUGUUGGUGAGGUAACGGCUCACCAAGGCGUCGACGGGUAGCCGGCCUGAGAGGGUGACCGGGCACACUGGGACUGAGACACGGACCAGAAUCCUACGGGAGGCAGCAGUGGGGAAUAUUGCACAAUGGGCGAGAGCCUGAUGCAGCAACGCCGCGUGAGGGAAGACGGCCUUCGGGUUGUAAACCUCUUUUAGCAGGGAAGAAGCGAAAGUGACGGUACCUGCAGAAAAAGCGCCGGCUAACUACGUG